UGUUUCUGAGUGUUCCUGAGUGAACAUAGAUUCUAAUGCUGCUGUAGAUUUUUCUUAUUUCUUUGUCAUCUCCAUUUAUAGACUGAAUUAAAACCCUCAGUCCUAAAUGAAAACCUGGCCUUCUGCAUGGUUGGGGAGGAGGCCAGAAUCUCUGCCUUGCUGCUUUUUAUCUCCAUCAUCUCCUGCCAACAGACUGCCUCGGAGAAGAUCAGUCCCAGCCCAGCAAUAGAAGUAGGCACAAAACAGAAGAGAACACGAAGGGACUUCGGUUUCCCUUUUAUCUCAAUACAUACGGGCUAAUGAAAUGACAUCUACCUGGAGGGAGCUUUAAGACAAGAAUGUUU